rnacentral:lncRNA from 1 species
UUGUAUUUUUCAGCAAGUCUUAGGUAUUAUUCGGCCCUUUAUGUUUUUGUAUACGUUUCUUUUCUUUUAGUAUAUUGGCACCCUCAUGGAAAAGAGUCACCAUUCACUUCACGUGUGACAGGGAAAUAGGAAGCGUUCCCGCAUGAAACCAGAAGUCAUAGCCUUGCUGGUUUUCAUGAGAGUCGUGGAUAAAGCAGUAAGAUUGCAUUAAGGAGCAAGAUUCAACAAGAGGUUUCUUUGAGGACUGCUUUACACUUCCCACUAUGCAACUCUGUAGUUGAAAAUAUUGAAUCUGGAGGAAGAGCCGAUGUGAAGUGCUGGCUACACAACCUUAUGUCUGCAUGACCUUAAUAAGUUCUCCAAGCCUCGAUUUCCUUAUCAUAAAAUCAGGAGAGUAACAAUAUGAGACUCAUAGGUAAUUAUGGGGGUCAAAUAAG